rnacentral:hammerhead_ribozyme from 1 species
AUCUAGGUGAAAAGUCCCGAAUAGGACGAAACACAUGUCUUGGAU